rnacentral:rRNA from 1 species
GACGAACGCUGGCGGCGUGCUUAACACAUGCAAGUCGAACGGUGAAGGAAGAGCUUGCUCUUCCGGAUCAGUGGCGAACGGGUGAGUAACACGUGGGCAACCUGCCCUGACUCUGGGAUAACUCCUCGAAAGAGGUGCUAAUACCGGAUACGACCACUUCGGACAUCCGAUGGUGGUGGAAAAGUUUUUCGGUCAGGGAUGGGCCCGCGGCCUAUCAGCUAGUUGGUGGGGUAAUGGCCUACCAAGGCGACGACGGGUAGCCGGCCUGAGAGGGCGACCGGCCACACUGGGACUGAGACACGGCCCAGACUCCUACGGGAGGCAGCAGUGGGGAAUAUUGCGCAAUGGGCGAAAGCCUGACGCAGCGACGCCGCGUGAGGGAUGAAGGGCCUUCGGGUUGGUAAACCUCUUUCAGCAGGGACGAAGCGAAAGUGACGGUACCUGCAGAAGAAGCACCGGCUAACUACGUGCCAGCAGCCGCGGUAAU